UGGGCUCGUAGAUCAGGGGUAGAUCGUCACGUUUGCAACGUGAAGGCCACGGGUUCGAAUCCCGUCGAGUCCAUC
rnacentral:tRNA from 1 species